GUUUUUUUUUUUUCAUUAAUUCUUUUGACGUAGAUUGAUAUAUCAUUUCUGAAAAAGUUUUAUUCCCAAUGUGUCUUCUAAAAAGUUGUUGAAACAUUAAUUUUCAAUCGAUAGAAACCUUCUGUCAACCCGAAUUUUUUUUUUUUUUUCGUACGUAAAACCAAUUUAUUGUGCUGGGUUUGGUUUGAUUAUAAAUAAAACAGCUGGCAUAUUGGAUGUAUUGAAUCAUCUAGUGGAAGUUUCGUAUUCUGUUUUUGUUUGAAGGAAUUCAAUUGCGUUUUAAAGGUCUGGAAAUUUGUGAUCUAAUAAAAGGUGAAAGAAAUUCAAUAAAUCAAAGCAUCUGCAAGCCUCUUGGGUGUGUGGAUGUACAGUACACACUGUACAGCACAAUUCAUACAUACUUGGAAACUUGGAACCUUCGAAAUGCAGAUUGGCAAAAUCCCUUGUUAGCUACCAUCAAACGGUACUGCUUCCAGACCAUUGUAGGUGCGUUCAUUUAUUAGAGCAGUAAAAUAAUAUUAUAGAACCAAAGAAAAGAGCAACACCUUUAAAAAGACGAUUUUAAUUCUAAUUUUAACGAAAAAAUACGGAGACCCAUGAAGAAGCUAUAUAAAUUUAAAUCCACUGCCGUAUAGUAGAUGCAUUUAUACAAUUUUUGUUUCAACUCAGAAAAUGACUCCCACUAUUCUGCUCAUCAUUUGUUUUUCACUUUAUACCUAUCCACCUACCAUCUUCCGGAAUUUUUCAACUCACAAAAUAGUAGGUCGUCCUUUGCUGAUGGCUCUUCCUGUUGCAUUCGUAUAUUGUAGAAUACCUAGAAUACGUUUUCAUUUUGAGAAUUUUCACACACAAAACCAAAGGUAUAUAGUUGCAGAGUAAAGGCAGAGGUAUGAUGAGAGCAACAUGGAAAGCGCCUUAAAUUUUUCCUCGGUAUUUUUAAUUAAACAGUAAAAAACAGUAUAAACGUUUGGGAAAGUGUGAUUAGUUUCGUGCAGAAAAGGGACUUUCAGUUCUACUCAGGUAGGUAAAUAAGUUCUCGUUAAAGUUUAAAUAUUUUCUUUCUUCUGAAGUACCUAUAUCUCUAUAUAGUUAAAAGCACUCAUCGAAAUUAGCACUUAAAGUGCAAAAAAAAAACACUACGCUACCGCUUUUGUAUGUGAAUGAAGGAGGCCGCUGUGGUUGCGGUGGCAGUGAAUAAUGAACUCAGUAUUCAGGAAAACCUACACUGCAAUUAAUUACCAGCAUAUGUAUAAAUGUAUUUGUAUGGAUACCUUUUCUAAUAUAUUUAUACAAUACAUAUGCAUAAUAUUAAGAGUUUGCCUCUUUUCAAGUGCAGAUUUAUAAAAUAAUAGUUUGUUUGUAUUACUGAAUCUAUAAAGUUGAGGUUUCUUUUUUUAUGCACCCGUAAAUAGCGGACUGUAAGUAAUGCAUUAUAUUUUACGUUUGCUUACUUUCAAAUCAAAAUAUAUAGAAAAUACAUUUAUUUGCAACAUAAAGUCAGUAGAUCCUGAACAGAGAUAAAAUAUUAUUUUAUUCAGUUCAACAACCUCAGUUUUUGUCCUGGGUUAUUGUCAUCCAAUUGAUCCGGUUGACAGCCCAAACCUGAGCACCCGAGACCCGAGAAAGAGAUUACCAACAUACAUAAUUAACUCUUUCAAUUCGAAGAAAUCAGUUGGUCCGGAUGGUGUUUCCAACUUUAUUCUCAAAGGCCUAACAAUAAAAGUCAUGACCUUAUACAUAGGUUAAUGUCAACAUGGCAUGUGCAAGUGUGCGAAAACACACAAAUGCAUUAGGCUGACUAUAAUUCGCAUAAUGCGUGGUUCGUUAAACAUCUUCAAGCAUAUAACGUGCACUCUAAACUACUUAGCUUGUGUAAAUUUCUCAGAAUUGAAUGAAAAUAACAUGGAUUCAAAGGGAAUAGAAGAGUUAAUAAAAUGUUCACUAAGUAAAAACAUAGCAUAGCUUA